UAUUUUGCUCCAAUAAGACUAGUCCUUCUAGUGUUAAACAUUUUAUUCUUGCCAAAAUACAAAUAUUCCCUUGAAGGAUUUAUACUUUUUAAGUUGGUUAUCAGCCAUUUAUACUUUUCUAUGCAUGAAUUCCAACUCCCUUUCUAAGAAAAAGAUUUAAAAGAAAUAAUUCAAUUCAAUAUUCAUUAAACUCACUAUGCCAUGGCACUGUGUAAAGUAUUUUGGGAAACAAAGGCAAAAAAUGAAAAAAAAAUCUCUGCCCUUAAGGAAGAAAGCAUAGGCAUACUGGUUCCAGGAGAGGUGUACAGGUGUAUUUGUUAAAGCAAACUCAAAUUUAUUUCCUCCCAAAGGGUAUGCAGAUUCUGUAAUAAAUGCCUUCUUGACUCUCAAGCUCAGCUGAUUGACUAGCCAUAUUCCAAGACUCCUACCCAAGUUCCCGGUAGGAUUGCUACUUUUCACCUUUUGAAGGAUGAUGAUUGAGGGCUUUCAACAUCCAAAGCUUUCUUUUGGUCCCACUAAAGCUUUCUAUCCACCAUGGAAUCUUGCCUCUCAAAGAAUGACUUUAUAUGACUGGUCUCAGAAUUUUCAUGAAGAAAAAAUUGACAAGCCAAGAUGCAAGAUUGGGGAACUGUCUGUCAAUCAAGAAGAAGGUUCCAAAGGGAAUGUUCCCAGGAGAGGGAGCUGGGAGCCAUAGACAGGGAGAGAAACUGGGACUUGGGACUCUCUUUCUCUCUCUGGGGUUUUUUUGAACUGAGGAGACCUUGGCUUUGGGCUCUCUGACCAAAGGAGUAACUGAUUCUGUCUCUCUGGGGGUUGACUGAUCAAGAGAGAUUUCCUUGUUUUCUGGCUGAAGGGAGGAGAAGCUGAGAACUGAUCCCUGUUAGCUUCUGCCCCUGGCUGAAGAACCCUUGUGGUGGGGCUUGUGAAAUUAGGCUGAGAGACCUUUGGUGGUUUUGUGGAGAAGAAAAGAAGAAAGAAGAUUUAAAACAGUUGUCCUCCAUCUCUCUGGCUGUCCCUGAGUCACAAUUGUGACAAGACUGACAAUUUCCAUAACCGUCCUAAAUUCUCCUUAUAGAUUAGGGACACCUCUAUCCCCUUCACCUCAGUUUCCCAUUCUGUUGUUUCCCCAUAAACCCCUUACCUGAGAAAGAAAAAAGAGUAUCUUUAUAGUCCACUCAGGGGGGAGGGAGGAAGCCUAAGGCUUCAAGAAGUGAGGUGGUUAAAGGAGGGGAGUGAGGGAGGAGGAGGGUAGGAAAUAGAUUGAUCCAUUAGCCUUCAAAUAGGGAUCAGUAGGCAAACCCCAGAGCAUUCCCCUGUAGCAGUAUCUCUGAGCGUCUCACAAAGUACAUCCCCAAUGUAACAAGGCAUCCCUCAGGUGUGUCCCCAUACUAGCAGCUCUCUCCAGUCCCAAGCCAGAAUAUAUACCAGUUAGAGCAACAAGAAAUAGUCACACAGAUUAUCUUUUUUAUUACAAUAUAUAUACAUAUAUAUACAUUAUAUAUAAUAUGACUGUGGCAUAAGAAACUUCAUAUAAAGAGUUUAGAGAAGCAUGAUGAUUCAUAUGAACUAAUGUUUGGUGAAGUUGUUGGGACCACAAAAAAACAAUAUGCACAAAGGUAACAUUGUGAACCAAAAAAGAAAAUGAACAUUGUAUAAUUAUAAUUACCUGGUUGGGCUCUUAGGAGAUGAGAACA
rnacentral:lncRNA from 1 species